GUCCAGACUCCUACGGGAGGCAGCAGUGGGGAAUAUUGCACAAUGGGGGGAACCCUGAUGCAGCGACGCCGCGUGGGUGAAGGAGUGCUUCGGCAUGUAAAGCCCUAUCGGCAGGGAAGAAGCAAGACGGUACCUGACUAAGAAGCCCCGGCUAACUACGUGCCAGCAGCCGCGGGAAUACGUAGGGGGCGAGCGUUAUCCGGAUUCACUGGGUGGAAAGGGAGCGUAGACGGCCAUGCAAGCCAGGGGUGAAAGCCCGGGGCCCAACCCCGGGACUGCCCUUGGAACUGCAUGGCUGGAGUGCGGGAGGGGCAGGCGGAAUUCCUGGUGUAGCGGUGAAAUGCGUAGAUAUCAGGAGGAACACCGGCGGCGAAGGCGGCUUACUGGACCAUAACUGACGUUGAGGCUCGAAAGCGUGGGGAGCGAACAGGAUUAGAUACCCGCGUACA
rnacentral:rRNA from 1 species